rnacentral:rRNA from 1 species
CAAUAGCGUAUAUUAAAGUUGUUGCAGUUAAAAAGCUCGUAGUUGGAUUUGUGGUGUACUUCGGCGGCCCGUCACUAUGUGAUGGAGCUUGCUGAAGUCGCCAUCCUUGGGUGGAUCCUGUGUGGCAUUAAGUUGUCGUGCAGGGGAUGCCCAUCGUUUACUGUGAAAAAAUUAGAGUGUUCAAAGCAGGCUUAUGCCGUUGGAUAUAUUAGCAUGGAAUAAUAAGAUAGGACCUUGGUACUAUUUUGUUGGUUUGCGCACCAAGGUAAUGAUUAAUAGGGACAGUUGGGGGUAUUCGUAUUUCAUUGUCAGAGGUGAAAUUCUUGGAUUUUUGAAAGACGAACUACUGCGAAAGCAUUUACCAAGGAUGUUUNCAUUA